rnacentral:rRNA from 1 species
AGUGAACGCUGGCGGUAGGCCUAACACAUGCAAGUCGAACGGCAGCACAGUAAGAGCUUGCUCUUACGGGUGGCGAGUGGCGGACGGGUGAGGUAUACAUCGGAAUCUACUUUUUCGUGGGGGUUAACGUAGGGAAACUUACUCUAAUACCGCAUACGAUCUACGGGUGAAAGCAGGGGAUCUUCGGACCUUGCGCGAUUGAAUGAGCCGAUGACGGAUUGGCUAGUUGGCGGGUUAAAGGCCCACCAAGGCGACGAUCGGUAGCUGGUCUGAGAGGAUGAUCGGCCACACUGGAGCUGAGACACGGUCCAGACGCCUACGGGAGGCAGCAGUGGGGAAUAUUAGACAAUGGGCGCAAGCCUGGUCCAGCCAUACCGCGUGUGUGAAGAAGGCCUUCGGGUUGUAAAGCCCUUUUGUUGGGAAAGAAAAGCUGCAGGUUAAUACCACGCUGUACUGACGGUACCCAAAGAAUAAGCACCGGCUAACUUCGUG